rnacentral:rRNA from 1 species
AAUAUUGCACAAUGGAGGAAACUCUGAUGCAGCGACGCCGCGUGAACGAUGAAGGCUUNCGAGUCNUNAAGUUCUGUCCUAGGGGNCGAUAAUGACGGUACCCAAUGAGGAAGCCCCGGCUAACUACGUGCCAGCAGCCGCGGUAAUACGUAGGGGGCAAGCGUUGUCCGGAAUUACUGGGCGUAAAGGGUGCGUAGGCGGCCAAUUAAGUCAGAUGUGAAAUACCACGGCUCAACUGUGGGGGUGCAUUUGAAACUGGUAGGCUUGAGUGCAGGAGAGGAAAGUGGAAUUCCUAGUGUAGCGGUGAAAUGCGUAGAGAUUAGGAGGAACACCAGUGGCGAAGGCGACUUUCUGGACUGUAACUGACGCUGAGGCACGAAAGCGUGGGGAGCGAACAGG